UGUAAUAAAUUGAUAUUCAAAAAUGAAAAAAAUAUCAAAAGUAAGAAAUUUUUGGAGAAUAAAUCUUAAAGUUUUGUUCCGAUUAAACUAUAAUCAAUAUAAAUGUUUAGGAUCAUGUAAAAAGUAUUACUUUUCAUCCUCUAAGAAUAAGAUUAAGGUGGUAUUAAUUAACAUGAUUAAGCCUCCAUAAUUUGACAUCCUUUCUGUUAAUAGAACUUAACCUUGUCAUAAGUCAAAAACAAGAUCAAGACUACUGAUUUGAAAGUCACAAGUUUGAAACCAGCUGGGGAUUUUAUAAUUCUACCUUUCUUAAAAAAAUUAUUUUCUGUAUUUUUUAUACAGUAUGAACAUUUUUAAACUGAGUAUUUUUUAUUUUUUAAUAUGAUGACUGAAUAUCCAUAUCAAGAUCUAAAGAUGUCCUAAACAAUACUGUACUAAUAUAUCUAUAUUCUAAUAAUUUUGCUUAUUAUGGAAAAACAAAUAAAACAUUUAAGGUGUAUGAGACACCCGUUGAUAUUGAUAUGAAUAAUAGUACCAGGUAAAUUAUACAUGUGUAUUAUAAAUCAAAAUACUUUCACCCUUUUAGAACUUUUAAAUUAUGCACUAUUUGACUAAAAAACAUUUUAAAAAUAUUUAAAAAAGAUAAAAAUCAUAAAAGCCCCAGCGGGAUACAAACUCAUGACUUACAGAUUCUUGGUCAAUGCUCUUACCUAUUGCGCUAAGCUGUUAAGCUUACGUGACAAUUCUGGGAAAGAAAAUGAUUAUACUUGAUUUUAUUAUUUAUCUGAUAGAAAGUACGUCACAAUAUGGAGGUGUCCCAUACCACCUUUUUUUGUUUUUUUAAGCAAUAAAAGUAACAGUGUCAAGGAUGCUGACAUAGUUCUUCCACCAUGUACACAUGUCACCUUUUCAACAAAUCAUCUCCCUUCUUCAGAGAUUACUUGGACCUUGUUUUCAUAGUAUUUAUGUUCACAUCAAACAUGUUUAUAGAUAAAUUAAAAAAAAAUAUCAAAGCAACACAGAGAUCAUAAACCAAUAAAACAAUGGAUGCAGUCCGAUUUUAGUCUGCAGGAAUACCAUACAGUCAAGCUUUUUUAUCUCGAAAUAGAUGGGACUGUUUAAAAACUUUGAAGUAUCUGAGUAUUUAAGAUAUCAAGGGUUAAAUUAUACUUAAAAAGUAAGUGGUUAGGAUUUACCAAUCACUUCGUCAUAUCCAUUGUAUUCGAGAUAUCAGUGUUUGAGCUAGAUAUCAAAGUUCAACUUGUAUUUAGAUUAUUUUAUAGUGAUAAUACACAUUGUCAUGGAUCUUUAGAAAAAAGUGACAGUGUAAAACUUCAUGACACAUGACAUGAGUAACUGUAAGUGUUAUAACUUUUACUUCAAAUAUACAUUGUUUUUAGGAAACUUUCGGACCUUAAAUUUCCCUAUAACAAUUUGAAGUUUAAAUGAGGCAGAUGCAUGAAGCAGAGUUUAACAGAGUACAAGUCAAUCAAGAAAUGAAUUAAACGGUCACACAAUCAAUGCAAGUGUGUUAUCAGUUUAUGGUUGUUUCAGGUCUGCAAAUGAAGGACUGCAAGCAACAACCUCUCUCUGAUGUUAAUCCCUCCAUUCUACAGGUCAAUGACCAAUGGUCUCUCCCAAUCAUUAAAUCAAGACAAUGAGGAAAAAUCUUUUUAAAAUUGAUAACGUUUCAAAGAGAUGUCAAUAUGUGAACUAUUUAUAUUCCAGGAAAUUUUUCUGAAGAAGACGUACAAAAUCCCCCAUAUCCUUUUCAACUGUUGAUAGAAUGGGAUAUGUUGGAAAGAGAUCUUAUUUUCUCAUCUAGAAUAAACCAUAUAUAUCAAUACAUGACUACUGUAAAUUCCUAAUUAAAUGCGAGGAAUUAAUAUCUGAGUAAAAUUGCAAGAGGCACAUCUCGCGGAUUUCAAAGAGUGAAAAAUGAUGAUGUACAAAUGAAGUUUUCUUGGAUAUUUUCCCUUUCAUCUAUUUCAAUUGGACUUCUAUCAAAGUUUCACUGAGCUACACGUAAGGUGUUGCGAACACACGAUGAAGCAGGAAGGACAAAGGGGCGGAAGACGAACCUAUCAAACACUAUGCAGAUAUACACGUAAAACAUAACAGAGCUUGGAAAGGUUUGUUUUUAAGAAAUUGAUAUAAAUCUGUAGAAGGAUAUAACCGGUAAAAGUUUUAUAAUAUCCACAAGAAAUCUAAAGGGGGGGGGGGGGGGGCUCCAACGCCUAAUCCCAACACUCUUUGAAUUUGUGACAUAAAAACGAGCAAUUUAAAAUCUGCUGAACAAGUCCUGUGCAUCAUAUGUGUAUCAUAUGUUAGUCAUAUUAUUCAGUAUUCACAGAAUGUCAUAUUGAUCAUGGCUUCAUGAAAACACGUUGAGCUGUUUGUCAGAAAAUGGUCCAUUUCAUAAACAAUCAAGGUAUCCUUUUAAAAAUAUUCAACUGACAAGGAGUGCAAGAAAAAACAAAGAUUCAACUACAUUUAGUUUUAUUUUAAUAAAGCUGAUAAUAAGCAGACAAAAAGUGAGAUUUAAUUUUAUAUUACAGCUACAAACUGCUAUAACACAAGUGUAAUGCUUUCGGAACUUUUCUGAUAGAAUGAAAUACACAUCUCAAAAAUAUGAGAAAAUGCCUCAGUAAAUAUAAAAUGAGAGGAAAAGAUCAAUACACACUACCAAAUUACUCAAAUUUUAAAAAUUAGAAUAAAAUAAAAGCAGUCACUUACUUCAUAAUUUGAACAUCUGGUGCUUUAAUAUUCAAAAUAGUUAUACUGUAUUGUAUUCUAGUAUGUAUUAUAAAAUAAUGAUUCUCAAAGCUUGAAAAAUCCUUUAUAAUAAAUUUUUGAAAAUGGUAUGUAAAUUUAGUAUUUAUACUACUCCGCGGAAUUAACACUCCACAUAACAGAUUACAGAAAUGGCAUACAAAGAUGACAGGAGUUAUUCUCUACAGCAUUUAUACAUCAACGACUAAUUUGAAUUUAUACAUGUAUUUAAUGAAUUGAUUAAAAUUUCUGUUUAAGUUUAUACAUAACAAAGGAAUCUAAACUCAAAUUAGAACUUACUGGUACACAAUAUGAAUCGCCUUAUGCCUUAUAUUUACAUGUAUACAUAUAGAUAUUUUUGAGUUUUCUAUUCUUGGGAUAAAACAUAUAUACAACAUGCACACUGACAUAAAAAAAAUAAUUAUGUUACAAAAAGAUCUCAAUAAACAAAUGCAAAAAAAAAUUACAAAAUAAAUUGACAUUCAUAUGAACAACAUUUUCACAAUACGGCAAUUGAGUCCUAGCUAAAGCAAAGGAUAAAUAUUUCAUUUAUUUCCCAAAAUCAACAUGCAACAAAUUAAUACCUUAUUUAAAUGACGUUAUUUUACAGUUUACAAUUUGAUACAUAAUUUUUACAUCUUAAAUUUCCAAAAAAUGAAAAUAGAUUAAAAAGUUCAGUAUUCCCUUUUUAUCAUUUAUCACAUGACCAGUCUUACCCAAAAUUUACACAGGGUGUUAUAAUAUACAGUAAAUGUACUGCUUUCCAA